CCAAAGUCUCACCGUGGCGGGACUACAACUACCAUAAUGCCUCGGGCGAGCGCGCCGCCGCCGAGUGACGCGCAGGCGCGGCAGGGAGGGGACGCUGGGGAAGGGGUGUGAGUUUCCGGUUUUUCUGACUCAGCCUCCGCCGGGAGGGACCCCGGAAACGAUUUUAGCUGUUUGGCACUUUGAAGGCAGUAGUUGGAACAGCAGGAAGGAGAUGAAACUGCAUAUACUGCCUGACUGUGAUUCCUGGAAACUCUAGAAAUCUUUAAUAAUCUUCUAGAAAUCUUUAAUAAACUCUAGAAAUCUUUAAUAUUCUUCUAGAAAUCUUUAAUGAACAUCUCAAAUGAAUCAGUACAUAUCUGUAAUCCUGACUUUUGGGAAAUGGAGACCAGGAAAAUCAGGAGUUCGAGGCCCGCCUGGGCUAUAUGAGACCUACCUCGAAAAACAAAGGAGCUGGUUUUGUAGCUCGGUUGGUAGAUUGAUUGCCUAGGAUUCAUGAAGUCCUGGGUUCAGCGCCCAGGAGGGACAUAACGUUAAUGUAAUGGCAGCACUCAGAAGGUAGUGGAGGCCUGAGGAGCAGUAGUUUCAAGGUGAUCCUGUUCUACACGGAUAAAUUUAAAGCAAUAAAAUAAAGGAGUGGAAUUUUUGAAACCCGAUAAGAUCAAACUAAGGUCAAACUGUGUCUACAGUCAGAGUGGACAAGCUGAAAGCCCCCUCAAGAAUCCAAGAUAAGCUGCCAUUCUUGUUUCCCACCAAUCCUGGUGAGUUUGUUUUGUUUUUAGGUGGUAAAUGUGUCUGAAUUACACUUGGAAUAAAAACGGAAAAAAGGAGCACAGAAGGACUCUGGGGGGAAAGGGAGACUGGAAGAUAGCAGAAUGCUGAGAACUCGGACACCAGGAGCUGCUGCAUUGUGUUGUCAUCCAUGACGCCUGAACAAAGCCAUCAUGAGUCAUAGGCAGCUUCUCAUAGGUUCCUUAGAGACCCUUCAGGGUAGCCUACAAAGUCAGCACUGUGGCACAGUCAUAAAGCUAGCAAGUCCCGGAGCUAGCACUUUAUUUCCGGAGCACAGGAGACUACAGAUCUGAAAAGGAUAAACUAAAGAGUUGGAGACAUGGCUUACUGAUUAAGAAUGCCUGCCGUACAAGCAUCAGGACCUGAACUUGGACCCCAGGACUCAUGCGACAAACAAGGCUUGCCAGUAACUGCAACACUGUUGGAGGCAGAAUGGGGUGACAAAAUACUCAACAGGAAACAACUUAAGGAGAAAAGGAUUUGUCUUGGCUCAUGGUUUAAGAGAGCACAGUCCAUCACCGUGGGAAGACAUGGCAGAGUUCGUGGAGGCAGAACACACAGCUGGGACUCACAGCUGGAAAGACUGGGAGGCAGAGAGCAGGAUAUGCUGCCAUUCCUUCUUCGAUUUUUAUUCAGCCCUGGCUGCUAAUCCAUGGGAUGAUGAUGCUGACGUUGUGAGUAGUUCUUCAGUUCAACCUCUUGGGAAGCACCCUCACACACUCAGAAAGUGGCGAAUGUCCUUAGUGAUUCCAAACCCAGUCAUGUAAGUGCCGACCUAGCUGAAUAAAAAAUAUACAGCAAAAAGUGCUCAAAUGAAAAAUGGGGGGAGCCAGGUGCCGUAGCACUCGCCUUUAACUCCCAGCACUCUGGAGGCAGAGGCAGGUGGAUCUCCAAGAGUUCAAGGCCAGCCUGGUCUAAAUAGCAAGUUCCAGGCCAGCCAGAACUACAACAAGACUCUGCUUAUCAGUAUUUCAUGUAGCCUCUUAAGAAAGGAAAUUCAAAUGGACAGUAAGCAUAAAGAGUGUGUCCUAAUGUUUUAAUCAAAUAAAUGCAGCUGGUAGAGGCCUGUACCACCAUAA